GUGGCACAAAGAGUAAAGCACUUGGCUAAUAACCAAAAAGUUGGUGGUUCAAAUCCACCC
rnacentral:tRNA from 1 species